UACGGAGGGUGCGAGCGUUGUCCGGAAUCACUGGGCGUAAAGGGCGCGUAGGCGGCGCGGGCAGUCAACGGUGAAAGCUUGGGGCUCAACCCCGAGUCGGCCGUCGAUACUCCCGUGCUUGAGCACUGUAGAGGCAGGUGGAAUUCCGGGUGUAGCGGUGGAAUGCGUAGAGAUCCGGAAGAACACCGGUGGCGAAGGCGGAUCUCUGGGCCUUACCUGACGCUCAGGCGCGAAAGCUAGGGGAGCGAACAGG
rnacentral:rRNA from 1 species